UGGGGAAUAUUGGACAAUGGGCGGAAGCCUGAUCCAGCCAUGCCGCGUGUGUGAAGAAGGCCUUUUGGUUGUAAAGCACUUUAAGCGAGGAGGAGGCUACUUGGAUUAAUACUCUAGGAUAGUGGACGUUACUCGCAGAAUAAGCACCGGCUAACUCUGUGCCAGCAGCCGCGGUAAUACAGAGGGUGCGAGCGUUAAUCGGAUUUACUGGGCGUAAAGCGUGCGUAGGCGGCUUCUUAAGUCGGAUGUGAAAUCCCUGAGCUUAACUUAGGAAUUGCAUUCGAUACUGGGAAGCUAGAGUAUGGGAGAGGAUGGUAGAAUUCCAGGUGUAGAGGUGAAAUGCGUAGAGAUCUGGAGGAAUACCGAUGGCGAAGGCAGCCAUCUGGCCUAAUACUGACGCUGAGGUACGAAAGCAUGGGGAGCAAACAGG
rnacentral:rRNA from 1 species